rnacentral:rRNA from 1 species
AGCGAACGCUGGCGGUAGGCCUAACACAUGCAAGUCGAACGGCAGCACAGUAAGAGCUUGCUCUUACGGGUGGCGAGUCGCGGACGGGAGAGGAAUAUAACGGAAUCUACUUUUUCGUGGGGGAUAACGUAGGUAAACUUACGCUCAUACCGCAUACGACCUACGGGUGAAAGCAGGGGAUCUUCGGACCUUGUGCGAUUGAAUGAGCCGAUGUCGGAUUGGCUAGUUGGCGGGGUAAAGGCCCACCCGGGCGACGAUCCGUAGCUGGUCUGAGAGGAUGGUCAGCCACACUGGAACUGGGACACGGUCCAGGCUCCUGCGGGAGGCAGCAGUGGGGAAUGUUGGACAAUGGUGGCGAGCCUGGUCCAGCCAUACCGCGUGGGUGGAGGAGGCGUUGCGGUUGUGAAGACCUUUUGUUGGGAGAGAAAAGCAGCAGGUUGAUACCCCGCUGGACUGACGGUACCCAAAGAAUAAGCACCGGCUAACUUCGUG